rnacentral:rRNA from 1 species
CCUACGGGUGGCUGCAGUGGGGAAUAUUGCACAAUGGGCGCAAGCCUGAUGCAGCCAUGCCGCGUGUGUGAAGAAGGCCUUCGGGUUGUAAAGCACUUUCAGUGGGGAGGAAGGCGGUGAGGUUAAUAACCUCAUCGAUUGACGUUACCCGCAGAAGAAGCACCGGCUAACUCCGUGCCAGCAGCCGCGGUAAUACGGAGGGUGCAAGCGUUAAUCGGAAUUACUGGGCGUAAAGCGCACGCAGGCGGUCUGUCAAGUCGGAUGUGAAAUCCCCGGGCUCAACCUGGGAACUGCAUUCGAAACUGGCAGGCUAGAGUCUUGUAGAGGGGGGUAGAAUUCCAGGUGUAGCGGUGAAAUGCGUAGAGAUCUGGAGGAAUACCGGUGGCGAAGGCGGCCCCCUGGACAAAGACUGACGCUCAGGUGCGAAAGCGUGGGGAGCAAACAGGAUUAGAUACCCGGGUAGUC